GGAUGAAUAUUCGUCAAUGGGGGAACCCUGAACGAGCAACGCCGCGUGGAGGAUGAAGGCCCUUGGGUUGUAAACUCCUUUUCGGAGGGAAGAGGAAGGACGGUACCUUCGGAAUAAGUCACGGCUAACUACGUGCCAGCAGCCGCGGUAAUACGUAGGUGGCAAGCGUUAUCCGGAAUUACUGGGCGUAAAGCGCACGCAGGCGGCUGUCCAAGUCUGACGUGAAAGCUCCUGGCUUAACUGGGAGAGG
rnacentral:rRNA from 1 species